rnacentral:sRNA from 1 species
UUCAAUGAGCGGUAAGUCCACUGCAGGUUGUUUUGGAUGUUCCCUUCCGGAAUGGUAGGCAAGAGUCCAGACACAACGAGCUUGCAGGGCACGCUCUUUUU